rnacentral:rRNA from 1 species
ACGAACGCUGGCGGCAGGCUUAACACAUGCAAGUCGAGCGCCCCGCAAGGGGAGCGGCGGACGGGUGAGUAACGCGUGGGAACGUGCCCUCUUCUACGGAAUAGCCCAGGGAAACUUGGAUUAAUGCCGUAUACGCCCGCAAGGGGAAAGAUUUAUCGGAGGAGGAUCGGCCCGCGUUGGGUUAGGUAGUUGGUGAGGUAACGGCUCACCAAGCCGACGAUCCAUAGCUGGUUUGAGAGGAUGAUCAGCCACACUGGGACUGAGACACGGCCCAGACUCCUACGGGAGGCAGCAGUGGGGAAUCUUGGACAAUGGGGGAAACCCUGAUCCAGCCAUGCCGCGUGAUCGAUGAAGGCCUUAGGGUUGUAAAAAUCUUUCAGCUGGGAAGAUAAUGACUGUACCAGCAGAAGAAGCCCCGGCUAACUCCGU